AUAAUUGUUGGUUAAAUUAAAAUCUUUUAACAAAAACAAUUGCUUGUGAUUUUGCUUCAAUGGCAAAACCUCCUUCGACGUGGCAUUCUCCUUGGACCCGAACGCCAUUAUAUAAUUUCUCCGUCUCCUAGAGUCAAUUUUGAAGCCAAGCCAAAGUCAAAAAAUGGCGGACCCAAAUGCGGCCACCGUGUUCUCCGCCGUAGAUCAUUCUCUGAACGACCUUCCAGAAGAAAUCCUGACACACAUCCUCUCCUUCUUAUCCACAAAAUCCGCCAUCCAAACCUCCUUACUCUGCCGCAAGUGGAGAUAUCUCUGGUGCCAACUCUCUUCCCUCAAUUUCCCAUACUCCUCUGUCUCGACCGCCACCUCCAUCCCUGCUCGCUCUCUCGCGGACUUCAUCAACCAAACACUAAUCCGCCGGCCCUCAACUUCUCCUCCACUCCAAAAAUUCCACCUCCAGUUUGACUUCAAAGAACAUCUCUACUCCUCUCAUGUAGACUCAUGGGUUCGCUACGCAAUUCUCCAUCACGUGCAACAACUCGAGCUCGAUUUCUACAUAAGCAGGGAAUUCCAGACUUCUGAUAUCGAAUCAGAUUACGAUUUUCCUUUCUUUUUGCUUAAAAAUGGGAAUGUUAAGAUUUUGAAGCUUACAAAAUGUCGUAUUACUCUCCCUACUAAUGUUGCUUCUAUGGGACUUAGCUUUCUGAAGUCGGUUUUUCUCGAUCAGGUCUAUUUAAGCGAUGAAAUGGUGUCUAAUUUGAUUUCUGGGUGUGUGAAUUUGGUUUUUUUGGGUCUUGAGUACUGUUAUGGGAUGAAGGAUGUGAAAAUUUGUUCUUUGAAGAUUACGGUGUUGCAUCUUAACUACUUUACUUGUGAGGAUGGGUCGCUUGAGAUUUCUUGUCCAAAUCUUGUGUCAUUAGAAAUGAUUGGUUUUCAUGUGGAGAAGUAUGAUUUUAAGAACUUAUCGGGUUUAGUUGAAGCUGGCGUUGCUUUCUUGCAUAUGUGGAAGUAUUAUAGGCAUUGGAGUCAGGUUAUGAGGUUCCUUCUUCAUGUCAAGCGUCUUACAGUCCAGAAUUGGUGGUUUAAGCUUCUUACGUCAACUGAUAUUUUUUCAAAAAUAUCUAUAUUCUGCAAUCUCAAGCAUUUAGAGCUAAGAACAGAGUACUCAAAGUAUGAUCUGCUUGGUAUAGCUGCAAUACUGGAAAUUUCGCCUAAUCUGGAGACUUUGAUCUUAGAUUACAUUUGUAAGAUAGAUAAUGAUGAAUGCCUCUCAGAAGAGCUUUUGAAUAAACCAAUUCAUCUGUCUCUGCCAAAACUUACAUUUGUUGAAAUAAGAGGUUGUGAAGAAGUAGAGAGGAUUGCAUUCUUCUUGGCACUUUUAUUUGAUCAUGGAGUAGUUCUGGAAAAGGUUAUUUUGUUUCCCCCGAGUGCGGAUGCUUCCCGUAAAGUAGUGAUUCUGCAAAGAACAGGCCCUUAGCAGCCAUCCAUUGCCCGAGGAUGGUGAAGUUUCUAAUGGUUUUAACAUUAUUAAGGAUAGAGUAACUAGAUUUGCAGUGCUCCUCCUCAUGAGAAACUUUUUGUUUCAAACCCAAGAGCAAGAUUUGGCUGCCUCAGUAUUCUUCGACAGGCUCAAUCAAAUCAACAAUACCAGAUUGUGGCUAAUUUGAGUAAGAAAGAUCUUCAGACGGAAAUUUCAAAUAUUAAUCACUGAAUGUCCUCUUGGAAUUAUAGACUACUGCCUUUCUUUUUUUUGGUAAAAAGGAAGAGCAAAGCUCAGGGAACCACAAACAUAAACGUUGGUGGGCAAUGCCAGAAAUAUCAUGGUUCAACCAAUAGGCAAGACCAGUAGGAGGUUCUAACAAGACAUUGGUUUCUAAAGGGAAAUGCCUAACAAAUUUAGCUAAGCAAGUAGCACUGUGAUUUGCUUCUCUAUGCACAUGAAACAGCCUGCAAACCCAAUCAUGAGUAAGAAGAUUUUUGAUAGCUACAACUAGCUGAAGCGUGCUACCCUUCAGAAGCGACACCACCGUUCACAAGCUGAACAACCGUCUCGUUAUCACAUUCAAUAACCAAAUGGGAGAUACCCAUGUCGUUAGCAAGUUUUAGUCCUUCAAGAAUAGCCCAAAGCUCCGCUUCUGGGACCGAGCAAGUUCCAAGCUUGGAGACAAAACCUUUGAUCCGCCUGCCUGGGCCGUACCUAAUCAGAGCCCCUCCGCACGCUAUAGACCCUACAAGAGAACCAUCGGUAUUUAGCUUGACAAAGGGAACAGUAGGAAAAGACCAAGCAAUCCACGCAUUCCGUGAUAAAACUAUGACUAGUGAGGGACUUGAGUCCAUCUUGCCGCUAUUUAAGCAGCACAUCAGUUUUGUUUAAGUCUAUGACUAGUUUUGUGACUUUCAUCUCCAGAAUAUGCAAAGAUUUUGAAUUCUUCA